GUGCCAGCAGCCGCGGUAAUACGGAGGGUGCAAGCGUUGUCCGGAUUUAUUGGGUUUAAAGGGUGCGUAGGCGGGCUAUUAAGUCAGUGGUGAAAGCCGGCAGCUCAACUGUCGAACUGCCAUUGAUACUGAUAGCCUUGAGUACAGAUGAGGUGGGCGGAAUUUAUGGUGUAGCGGUGAAAUGCAUAGAUACCAUAAAGAACACCGAUAGCGAAGGCAGCUCACUAAACUGUAACUGACGCUGAGGCACGAAAGCAUGGGGAUCGAACAGGAUUAGAUACCCUCGUAGUCC
rnacentral:rRNA from 1 species